ACCGAAGCUAUGGACUUGAAAAAGUGGUAGGGGAGCAUUGUAGUGUCGUCGAAGGUGUACUGCGAGGUAUGCUGGAGAAGCUACAAAAGAAAAUGUAGGCAUAAGUAACGAUAAUGCGGGCGAGAAACCCGCACACCGAAAGACUAAGGUUUCCUCAGCGAUGCUAAUCAGCUGAGGGUUAGUCGGGACCUAACGCGAACCCGAAAGGGGUAGUGGAUGGACAACCAGUUAAUAUUCUGGUACCUGCUCACGCUAAAAGUGACGGAGGCGUAUAUUUGGUGCGUGCUGACGGAAUAGCACGUUAAAGCCAGUGGUAACACGGCGAUAGUACACUGAGACUACGGUCAAGGUGAUAAUCCAGAGAAGCGACUUCCAAGAAAAGCGAGUGAAGCAGCCCGUACCGCAAACCGACACAGGUAGUCGGGGAGAGUAUCCUCAGGUGCGCGAGUGAUUCACGGCUAAGGAACUCGGCAAAUUAGUCCUGUAACUUCGGGAGAAGGGACGCCAGUUUCGGCUGGCCGCAGUGAAACGGCCCAAUCGACUGUUUAGCAAAAACACAGGACUCUGCGAAGGCGAAAGCC
rnacentral:rRNA from 1 species